CUGAAGUGUGUUGGAGCAGCCGCUGGCAGGUGCAGAGUCCAUGUGAGCAGGAGAGAAGCUGAAGGUUGCGCACCACUCUUGACCAACAAAACAGCCGCAGCGCAGCACUAAAAAUACAACUUCAGCACUUUCCCCGCCGUAGACUUGUUCAACUUUAGUCAUCUCCUGUCUGAGCUACAACAACUCUCCUUUGUGGACUCACCCCUUCAUGGUCCCUCCUCCAGAACACAGAGGCAAGAUUUGUCCUCAACUGUCCCACACCCUCCCACUUUAUCCCCCUCACGCAGUCCCAUCGCUGGCUGCUUGUGGUGAAUACGAAAUGGUGGUGUUGGCGAACACGGCAGAGAAAGAGAGCCACAAAUGCCCGCUGGGACACUGUCCAGAUGAGUAAUAGCCGUGGUGCUGUGGCUUGACUGAUUAAUGCACUCGAAGAGCCCAGGGAGGUGGAGCACAACAAACAGACGGAGGGAGGAGAAAAAAAGAGCGAGGGGUGAGAUUGGAGAGAAAAGACAAUGAGCGAGAGUCUGAGAGAAUGAGCGCGUCCGCACAGAUGCUUGCGCGCGUCCAUGUAUCAGAAACCCCAGCACUGCCAUCGCAAAGCCAACGCACCAAGUGGUUUGAUCCUCAGAGGGAGGUGCCCUUCCCCUCAUCAGUGGAAGUGUUGUCUCUUUUCCAGUUUAUUACAAUCAUGCUCACUCAUAUUGUAUGACCGUAUCAGCCAGCAC
ensembl:lncRNA